rnacentral:lncRNA from 1 species
CGGGCCCUCCCAAUCCCCGCCCCUCCGCCUCCAACUUCCGUUCUAUCCUCGGGGGGGCUGGGCCCGUCCGGUUUCCCGGCACCCCCCGCGCGGCCUCGACCUUUCCCGCAGACCUCGGGCCGCCGCCGCCGCGGACUGUGCGCCCGGCCUGCUCAGGUGAGGGCUUGCGGAGGGGGGCCGACCCUAAAUUCGCGCGCCGACCCCCGGCUGGCCGGUAAUGCGGAGCCCGGCCCUUCUGUCGCUUCCGGGGCUCGGUGCUACCUUUCGUGCCCGGCCGGCACCGUUUCCUGUGCCGGGGCAGCGCCCAACGGCCUCAUGGCACAGAUUUCGGGAAGACUCGGGCUGAGAGGUCAGCAGGGACUCUCGGGGUCGCUCAGGUGGGAAGUGACAGCCAGACGAUGGCCCCUCAUCCGGAAGGCCCUUGAUCUCCCCGCACCAGUGCCGGGAUCCUUGGCGUCCUGGACGAGGUCGCCCCCGUCAGAGUCGGGCGUCCGGAUUCGCAGGCGCGGCCGUGUCCGCCCAGCCCGGGAGCCGCUAGUCCGCUGGGCCCCGGCCUCGUUCGUUCCCUUUCCGCCCGUUUCAGUUUAUUUCCCAUGAAGUCUGCUGGCUGUCACCUUGGAGAUGUUCACAAGGAAACAAGUGAAGCAACUUCUGCGGAGGAUACCUGGAAAACAGCGCUUUGGUGUCUAUAGGUUUCUUCCUUUCUUCUUUGUUCUGGGAGGAGCAAUGGAGUGGUUUAUGAUCAAAGUCCGAGUUGGCCAGGAGACCUUCUAUGGCAGUCUUAUGUUAAAUAUGUUAUAGUAUAUCCUAGAUAUAAUAUAUGUGUGCAUAACCAUACGGUUCACAAGAAGAAUUGGAUUCAGAAGAUGAUGUUUAUCGAAGAAAAGAAUCAGAGAGACAGUACCAAAGAAGGCUGGAAGAAGAAUCUUGAGAAGCAUGAAUGGUGGAGCCUUACUUUUCAACAAAAUAAGUAGCCAUAACUUUUAAGUCAAAUGUGAAUGUGAACUGUUUUCACUUUGGGUUUCUCUAUCAUGUAAGAAACCUAUUAGUUAGUGCCCUCUUGUGGCCAGAUCAUGGAUCUUCACC